rnacentral:rRNA from 1 species
GACGGGAUGGACAUGUUUACGCCAACUAAAUGGUGAAGACGGAUGAAUUCCAAUACGUCUUCGCCUGUUGAGAGCGCCUCCCACACAGCGAGCAGAGUUUUCUUCAGAACAGAGCUGAGCGCAAAGGGCAAGGAUGAGAUUUUCAGUCUCCACUUAAUAGUAUGAGAGCCUGUAAAUUCGCAGAGUUGUUGAGGCAUUGUUCGCGAUUGUUCGGCAUCAAAUUAAGCAGCUCGCAUCAUCAAUUCAUGGAUGGACAUGGACUAAUUACAGUACGCACGACAUGAACUGCACGGUAAUACACACACCACUGCUCAGAGGAGAUUGACUCGCUACUAGUACUACCAAACACUGUGUCUAAUAGAUCCGACCUAUCGACGACGACACUCGGCAAGGUCGACGGCGGCGCUGCUGCUGCCGCCGUGGGCGCAGGGCGAGCCGGUGGAGAUGUCGUCGUCGUGUUCGCCGCCGCUUCUGCCCCUGCUCCCAGCGUAUUCCUCCUCCUCGGCGAUGGGGUCCAGGCAUCCCUCCGCUGCACGGCGAAGGCGGAGCCGCUGCAGCCGCACGACGUGGAGGGUCUCCGGCGGGGCCGCCUCGUCGGCGGCGAAGCGGAGGACGGCGCAGGGCGAUGUGGCAGGAGCCAUGACCGGCGGGUAUCUUGUUGCGCGAUCAGUUGGGGCGACGCGGAGACGGAGAGGUUCUUCGCCUGCUGGCUGCUGCUGCUGUGUGCGGUGUUGGUGGUGGUGCACGGUGGGUUCAGCGAAGAGCAGAACAGCUUUGUCUGUUUAUAUAAAAG